CGCCCUCUUCGGAGGGAGCGGCGGACGGGUUAGUAACGCGUGGGAACGUGCCUCUCUCUACGGAACAGCCCAGGGAAACUUGGAUUAAUACCGUAUACGCCCCUGAGGGUUAAACCUUGGGGGGAAAGAUUUAUCGGAGAGAGAUCGGCCCGCGUUGGAUUAGGUAGUUGGUGGGGUAAUGGCCUACCAAGCCUACGAUCCAUAGCUGGUUUGAGAGGAUGAUCAGCAACACUGGGACUGAGACACGGCCCAG
rnacentral:rRNA from 1 species